rnacentral:rRNA from 1 species
UGCGAAUGCUGACAUAAGUAACGAUAAAGCGGGUGAAAAGCCCGCUCGCCGGAAGACCAAGGGUUCCUGUCCAACGUUAAUCGGGGCAGGGUGAGUCGACCCCUAAGGCGAGGCCGAAAGGCGUAGUCGAUGGGAAACGGGUUAAUAUUCCCGUACUUGGUGUUACUGCGAAGGGGGGACGGAGAAGGCUAUGUUGGCCGGGCGACGGUUGUCCCGGUUUAAGCGUGUAGGUGUGUGUUCCAGGUAAAUCCGGUUCACUUUAACACUGAGGCGUGACGACGAGGCACUACGGUGCUGAAGCAACAAAUGCCCUGCUUCCAGGAAAAGCCUCUAAGCAUCAGGUAACAUCAAAUCGUACCCCAAACCGACACAGGUGGUCAGGUAGAGAAUACCAAGGCGCUUGAGAGAACUCGGGUGAAGGAACUAGGCAAAAUGGUGCCGUAACUUCGGGAGAAGGCACGCUGACAUGUAGGUGAAGUGAUUUACUCAUGGAGCUGAAGUCAGUCGAAGAUACCAGCUGGCUGCAACUGUUUAUUAAAAACACAGCACUGUGCAAACACGAAAGUGGACGUAUACGGUGUGACGCCUGCCCGGUGCCGGAAGGUUAAUUGAUGGGGUCAGCGCAAGCGAAGCUCCUGAUCGAAGCCCCGGUAAACGGCGGCCGUAACUAUAACGGUCCUAAGGUAGCGAAAUUCCUUGUCGGGUAAGUUCCGACCUGCACGAAUGGCGUAAUGAUGGCCAGGCUGUCUCCACCCGAGACUCAGUGAAAUUGAACUCGCUGUGAAGAUGCAGUGUACCCGCGGCAAGACGGAAAGACCCCGUGAACCUUUACUAUAGCUUGACACUGAACAUUGAGCCUUGAUGUGUAGGAUAGGUGGGAGGCUUUGAAGUGUGGACGCCAGUCUGCAUGGAGCCGACCUUGAAAUACCACCCUUUAAUGUUUGAUGUUCUAACGUGGACCCGUUAUCCGGGUUGCGGACAGUGUCUGGUGGGUAGUUUGACUGGGGCGGUCUCCUCCUAAAGAGUAACGGAGGAGCACGAAGGUUGGCUAAUCCUGGUCGGACAUCAGGAGGUUAGUGCAAUGGCAUAAGCCAGCUUGACUGCGAGCGUGACGGCGCGAGCAGGUGCGAAAGCAGGUCAUAGUGAUCCGGUGGUUCUGAAUGGAAGGGCCAUCGCUCAACGGAUAAAAGGUACUCCGGGGAUAACAGGCUGAUACCGCCCAAGAGUUCAUAUCGACGGCGGUGUUUGGCACCUCGAUGUCGGCUCAUCACAUCCUGGGGCUGAAGUAGGUCCCAAGGGUAUGGCUGUUCGCCAUUUAAAGUGGUACGCGAGCUGGGUUUAGAACGUCGUGAGACAGUUCGGUCCCUAUCUGCCGUGGGCGCUGGAGAACUGAGGGGGGCUGCUCCUAGUACGAGAGGACCGGAGUGGACGCAUCACUGGUGUUCGGGUUGUCAUGCCAAUGGCACUGCCCGGUAGCUAAAUGCGGAAGAGAUAAGUGCUGAAAGCAUCUAAGCACGAAACUUGCCCCGAGAUGAGUUCU